rnacentral:tRNA from 1 species
GUGGGGUUGUGGCUCAGAGGUAAAGUGCUCGCUUAACAUGAGUGAGGCACUGGGUUCGAUCCUCAGCACCACA